rnacentral:rRNA from 1 species
AUUGAACGCUGGCGGGAUGCUUUACACAUGCAAGUCGAACGGCAGCACGGGGGCAGCCCUGGUGGCGAGUGGCGAACGGGUGAGUAAUACAUCGGAACGUGCCCGGUCGUGGGGGAUAACGUAGCGAAAGUUACGCUAAUACCGCAUACGAUCUGAGGAUGAAAGCGGGGGACCUUCGGGCCUCGCGCGAUCGGAGCGGCCGAUGUCAGAUUAGGUAGUUGGUGGGGUAAAGGCCUACCAAGCCGACGAUCUGUAGCUGGUCUGAGAGGACGACCAGCCACACUGGGACUGAGACACGGCCCAGACUCCUACGGGAGGCAGCAGUGGGGAAUUUUGGACAAUGGGCGCAAGCCUGAUCCAGCCAUUCCGCGUGCAGGACGAAGGCCUUCGGGUUGUAAACUGCUUUUGUACGGAACGAAAAGGCUCUGGCUAAUACCUGGGGCUCAUGACGGUACCGUAAGAAUAAGCACCGGCUAACUACGUG